rnacentral:rRNA from 1 species
UUUCCGUAGGUGAACCUGCGGAAGGAUCAUUGUUGAGUAGGUGAACCUGCGGAAGGAUCAUUG